AUGCAAUCUACCUUAUACAGGGGAAUAGCCCAGAGAAAUUUGGAUUAAUGCCCCAUAGUGUUAUCGAAUCGCAUGGUUUGAUAACUAAAGUUCCAACGGUAUAAGAUGAGCAUGCGUCCCAUUAGUUAGUUGGUAAGGUAACGGCUUACCAAGACAAUGAUGGGUAGGGGUCCUGAGAGGGAGAUCCCCCACACUGGUACUGAGACACGGACCAGGCUCCUACGGGAGGCAGCAGUGAGGAAUAUUGGUCAAUGGGCGCAAGCCUGAACCAGCCAUGCCGCGUGCAGGAAGACGGUCCUAUGGAUUGUAAACUGCUUUUAUACAGGAAGAAACACCUCCACGUGUGGAGGCUUGACGGUACUGUAGGAAUAAGGAUCGGCUAACUCCGUGCCAGCAGCCGCGGUAAUACGGAGGAUCCAAGCGUUAUCCGGAAUCAUUGGGUUUAAAGGGUCCGUAGGCGGUCUUAUAAGUCAGUGGUGAAAGCCCAUCGCUCAACGAUGGAACUGCCAUUGAUACUGUAGGACUUGAAUGCUUGUGAAGUAACUAGAAUAUGUAGUGUAGCGGUGAAAUGCUUAGAUAUUACAUGGAAUACCGAUUGCGAAGGCAGGUUACUAACAAGUUAUUGACGCUGAUGGACGAAAGCGUGGGGAGCGAACAGGAUUAGAUACCCUGGUAGUCCACGCCGUAAACGAUGGAUACUAGCUGUUCGGAGCAAUCUGAGUG
rnacentral:rRNA from 1 species